AUGUGCUUCAGGCAGGCAGCUUCUUGACAUCACAUUUAGCAUGAAGCCAGGAAUGCUGGCACGUCUGGGAUAGGACCAGAAUGCACUUGAGACAUUUUAAAAGUCAUCUACUCAUUGUUUAAAAUGACAAAAACUUGCUGCUCAUAAAAUGCUCUAAGGAAUGCCUAAGGUUGGAGAAGAAUCCACAAGAUUUAGAGAGAGCAGAGAAGGCACUUAAGAUAGAUUUGGAAAUUGGGACCUGAAGACAGCAAAGGUUCUCUGCCGCCAUGUGGAAAGGAAGAAAGUUAUCUUUGCCCAGUUCAAGGAAAAAAAUGUGUGAAAGCAACAGCGGAGUGUGUCAGACUGCCUACAAAUAUCAGCCAUAUUCAAGCUUUUUUCUAUAUAUAUAGUCUACACAUCUCAAGGCGACAUGGACAACAUUCAAGCAGCCUUAAAAAUCUAUAAAACAUCUACUUGAGAAGAAGCAUCUUUCAAUGUGGAGACGUGAGAACAAUUUUCAUGAAGAAAAUCUGAAGGAGUUAGAGUCUCAGUUGGUAAUGGAUGACAGAUUUGAUUUUCUUCAUCAAAUAUCUAUACAAAGUGAAGUCUAGCUGAUCAGAAGUGGCAGAUCCAUUUGAAAUAUGACCUGGAGAUUGUGCUCAAGGAGUCAUACCUCAUCUCCACAUUGACCAGAUAAAUGAUCAUUUCAAUGAAAGUGAUCUACAUAGGUAAUUCCUCUUCUGGCAGAAAAGUAAUGCAAACUCACAAAGAAGUAAACUGCCUUUAUCCCAGACUUCAAAAAACUCUCACAAAUUAAACUAAAAGGAAAAUAAGCAUCUCAUAUUAAAAAUAUGGUGAAAAUAAAUAAACAGUCAGAUAUGGAAACA